CUCUUUCCUUGGCUGCUCAGGUCAUAGGUGCUGCAAUCUAGAGACAAAAUAUUCCUUACACUGCCAGAUACUUGCAAACUAAGGGGAACGAGCUUCCCUCUGAAUGUUUAUGAAGGAGAGACCACUGUGGAUAGACAGUGAAGUGCAACUACAGCCCGCAAAUGAAAAUGAAUAAAAUUAAUCCAGCCCCUCAAGGCAGUCAUCUGUCUUAGAGCUAUUGGAAUCCUGGAUCAUUGUGGGAAAUGAAAAGAACUGGUUUUUAGCAAGGAGACCAAGAAACUCUACUCCCUAGGGGCUAGCAAUGAGAGAAAGGAAGCCUUGAGUCUUUGAGCACAGGGUGACAGUUUGGGUCCUAUGUGAGAUGAUCAAAUCCACAGCAACAGAGGAAAGGACAAAAGGAAAAGAUACUUCGAUGGAAUCAGCAGCCAUUGAUCCAAUGCCAACUCCAAGACUGGAACGUCGCAAUGAUAGUUCCAAGGCGGAAAUUUGACGUAAUUCUUUUCGACACAGUUUUACAGGCAUCUUGCAUGUGAAUAACUCACAACUUUAAUUCAUGGAACAAAUUGAGAAAUAGUCUUUUGGGGGUUUGGUACUCCCUGGAAACAUAAGAGUGCUUUGGGCACCUCUGGUGCCUUUCCAUGCCUGCCUUCUCUGCUGUUCUUGCUACUAGUGAAUUCUAAAUCAUGGCCAAGUGAUGCCAGCACUGGAUAAUAUUGGCUCUGCCCCAUAUCUCGAGGGAAAACUCUGGGACUUGGCAUUAUAUGUGUGGGAAUCUGGCCUUGGUUGGCACUCCCAGCAUGAUAGCAGGGUUCUGCUGUCUGAAUGUACUCUGGGGUGUGCGCCACAAUUUCUGUCAUCGAAAUGGAGAUGAGAGAAUAUGCCCUUGGUGGGGACACCCCACUGGAAUUAGAGUGAAGAGAUCAAAGCUAGAGGUUCUUAAAUCAAAGAAUGUCUAAUAGCAAAGACAAAAACUUGCUUAAGAGAAAUGCAUACAGGUACUAGACCUAAUAUGAUGAAAAAUGCUAACUUCAACAUAUUGAUGCAUGCUUAGUAUACUUUUAGUCCUGCAAAGACAAAAGUUUUUUGUUUGUUUUUUUUUGAGACGGAGUCUCGCUCUGUCGCCCAGGUUGGAGUGCAGUGGUGUGAUCUCGGCUUACUGCAAGCUCUGCCUCCUGGGUUCACACCAUUCUCCUGCCUCAGCCUCCGGAGUAGCUGGGACUACAGGCGCCCGCCACCACGCCCGGCUAAUUUUUUGUAUUUUUAGUAGAGAUGGGGUUUCACCGUGUUAGCCAGGAUGGUCUCGAUCUCCUGACCUCAGGUGAUCCGCCUGCCUUGGCCUCCCAAAGUGCUGGGAUUACAGGCAUGAGCCACCGCACCUGGCCCAGUCCUGCCAAGACAAAGUUUUAAAACACAGGUUGCACAUUGGCAGCUCUCAAGCCAAAUCUGGCCCAUAGACAUGGUUUGCUUGGCCUAUAAUGUUAGUAAUACUUGACCCAAGAUUUAAAAUUUGAAAAGUUUCAUAUAAAAAUAUAGAUUUACAGCUUUUCUAGAAAAACUAUAAGAGUUAACAGUUUCUGAAUUGCAACAGCAGCUGGAACACCGUUGCCACUGACCAUUUAGAUGACUGCUGCAGUCCCCACGGCUCACUCUGGUUCAGGUAGGGGUUCUAGUUUGUAACCCCUGGUUUAAAACAUAACUGACUCUCUAGUUUUUAAAAUUCUCUCAAAAUCAAAUAACCUGAACUAGCAAAUGAUCUAGAUCCUCGUACAUGGAACUCAUACUAAGUUGACCACAGACAGUGGCUCCCAAACUCUGCAGUACAUCAGAGUCACUGGGAAGCUUUAAAAAAUCCUGCUCCCUAGCUGGGUGCAGUGGUUUAUGCCUGUAGCCCCAGCUACUUGAGAGGCUGAGGUGGGAGGAUUGCUCAAGCCCAGGAGUUUGAGGCUGCAGUGAGCCAUGAAUGUACCACUACACUCCAGCCUGGGCAACAGAGCAAGACCCCAACUCUAAAAAAAAAUCCUGCUCCCCAGGUGACAGUAUCUGGGGGAAGGAGUAAGGCAUCUUAUUUUCAAAAGAUCAUAAGAAAAGAGGCUCAUUGCUGAGGCUCACUCCGGAGCCCACUUGGAUUCUUCACAAGAAAGUUUCCCUCUUCCAGAAUUUUAUAAUUGAGGGAACCGACUAGGGAAAGAUUAAUUUGCCCAAGGUCAAACAACUAGUAAAAGAAGUAAGGAUUCCAACCCAGAUCUUUUGACUCUAUUAUCCUUACAUAUAGUUUUAUAGUGAUUUAAAUUGAUACAAGGAUAGGUUUAAAUACAAGUAGAAUGCAGGUUCAUAUAAAACUGAUUUUAUCCUCAUGUUAGAAAACAUAUACACUGUAACAGAGGGAUGACCAUCAAGUGACCAAGAUAUUUUAGUCAAAAGAUGAAUUUUUCUGCAAUUGGAGAAUGCCAAAAAUAUUCAAAGAAAAUAUAAGUCUUGUAGGCAGUCUUCUAUCAAAACCCACUGAACCGCUGGGCACGGUGGCUCAUGCCUGUAAUUCCAGCACUUUGGGAGGCCAAGGCUGGUGGAUCACCUGAGGUCAGGAGUUUGAGACCAGCCUGGCCGACAUGGUCUCUACUAAAAAUACAAAAAAUUAGCUGGGCCUGGUGGCGGCACCUGUAAUCCCAGCUACUGAGGAGGCUGAGGCAGGAGAAUUGUUUGAACCUUGGAGGUAGAGGCUGCAGUGAGCUGAGAUAGCACCACUGCACUCCAGCCUGGGUAACAAGAGUGAAACUCCAUUCAAAAACAAAAAACAAACAAAAAAAAAACAAUGCACCAAAUACUAAGUUAUUAACUAGGAUACUGAUUAUUAAGCAUGUAAAACAUUUUAUGGAACUCAGAGUUUGAUGUAAAUUGCUAUAUUUUAUAAUUCAAACAAACCUUGUUUCAUGUCAUUAUAUUAGAGUAGCAUUAUGAGACAGGAUAUAGUGUAAGCUAUAUCCCCAAUAUAAUUGCAACUGUAUAUUUUAAAGCAUGGGGAAAAUAUGAAAAGAAUUAUGCUCAAAUGUGGGUAGGAUUAUAACUGAUUUGUUUUCUUCAUUUUCAGAUUUUUCUAUAAUGACUAUACAUUAUUUUUAUAGUCAAAAAUAGAAGUAUUUUAAAUGUUUCUAGGUAGAAUAGCAAAUUAGCUGAAAUAGUAUCUCCAACGUUAUUAUCAAGACUAGACUCCUUGGGUAAAUUGGUCAGAACAGUGUUGUUCUCAUUUUACACCUCUCCAAGAUUAACUAUGUUUUAGAUUUGUGUGUGUGUUUGGUUAAAGAGCCAGGAUGAAGAUCCAGAGUUCUUAAACCUGUAUACCACCAUACUACAUUGUCAUUUUAAAGAAAUGUCUAGUAGACUCGGUGGCAUAAACAUGGGCCAUUUACAAACUAGAUGUCUAAUAUCAGAUACCUCAAAUUUGACAGUAGACUUUUUUUCAAAGCUAAAGUGGUCUUAUGUUGACUAUUUUGUUUCUUACUUGAUACUUGUUUACUUUUUAAUUUUUGGCAAGUAAUGUUUCAAGUUAAAGUUUUAGCUAUAUAUAGCAGGCAGUAUUUCAAGUAAAUGAGUUACAUCAGUAAACACCUCUGUAUUACUAAACUGAGAAUCAGAAAAUGUAAUCUCUUUGGCAGGAUUCGUAUGUUUGUAUCACGUCUUUAUCCUCAGGCAACUUUUAUCUUGGAAUACUGAACCAGCAGUCAGAAUAUGAGGGACAUUAGACUGUGUUAUAGUUACUGUUCUGUCCUUAAGUCACUUGCCUUCUCUAAGUGUCAGUUGCCUCAUCUGAAAAUGGAGUUAGCAGACCCCAGCCUAUCCUGAGUUUGAGGGCUAAAGGGAAUUAUUCUUGAAAAUGUCUAUACAUGAUAAAUGUCACAAAUAUAACUUAGCAUUUUUUUUUUGAGACAGAGUUUCGCUCUUGUGGCCCAGGUCGGGGUGCAAUGUCGUGAUCUCAGCUCACUGCAACCUCUGCCUCCCGGGUUCAAGCGAUUCUCCUGCCUCAGCCUCCUGAGUAGCUGGGAUUACAGGCAUGCACCACCACACCUGGCUAAUUUUGUAUUUUUUAAUAGAGACGGGGUUUCACCAUGUUGGUCAGGUUGGUCUCGAACUCCUACCCUCCGGUGAUCCACCCGCCUUGGCCUCCCAAAGUGCUGGGAUUACAGGCAUGAGCCACCGCACCUAGCCAAUUCUACUUCUAUUACAUUUUCAGCAUAUAUCACUUCAUUGCUCCUCCAUAUUAUUUUUCACUGGUCUUCUUACAUCUUGUGUGCCCAUAUUUAAGUAGUUUUCUUUCCAGGUAAAAAAUACAUGUGUGCCUAAAAGAUUUUAAAGUCAACUUUUCAUAAACCAUACCUAAAUUAUCAAAGUUAUUAGAAUUAUUAGAAAGUAUUAGCUAAUUCUUUUAUAAAAUGUAGACUUUAUUAUUUUAGAAAUAUUGAUUCCUCUCUAUUCAGCUAUCUUAAAGAGGGUAUAUUUUAAUCAUCGCAAUAUAUUACCUUCAUAGUAUUUUUUACUUUUGCAAAGUAUAUUUUGUCAUGUUAUUUCAUUUAGGAAUGCACUAAAUCUACAUAUCUACAUAUGAUUAUACAAGGAAACAUCUUUGUCUCAAAAAUGGGUUCUAUUACAUUUUUUAAUUUCCAGGGGUCAUGAUAUAUAAAAAGACCUGAUUUAUCUUAAAAAUACAUACUUUUAUUCUUACCUACCAUACAUCUUUUUUUGUGAUAAUCAGAAGGCUUAAUUUACUAUAAAAUAGGAAAACAACAGCUAUGUUAGAUUAUAUAGUUAAUUUAGGGAUUAAAUGAGUUAAGGUCUACAAGCCCCUGGCACAUGGCAGACAAUCAAUAAUUGAUCAUUUCCUUUGCAUCUAUAAAUUUGUUCAUUCACUUCUCAUGUGGUUCUACCUUAGACAACGAUUUUUGUUUACAGAGACAAAUAGAAGUAUCUAAUCCUAAAUAACCCAAUCAAUUGGUAAAGGCUACACUACAAAGCUGGCAUGACUUCACCAAAUGCUAGAGAAACAGUGUUAAGAGUGACAACACUAAAAGUCUUACACUCUGAUGAUGCUAGUUGCCGCCGAAUUGCUUCCCCUACCAGUUCCUUAAGUUUCUUCUUAUGAUCCCGGCUGGUUUUCUUAUAGAAAUAAAGAUCUUUUUCCAACUGCUGGAUUUUAUCUUCAUAUGUUUUGAAAGUUUCCAUAAUGCCUUCUCCAUCUUGUUCUAUACAACAAAAAUUUGCAUUUAAAAUCAGUUUUAAAUAAAUGAUGCAAAAUUAUG
rnacentral:lncRNA from 1 species